UGGACUGACCUGAAAAGACAGGUACGAAAACACAGGUGUUGUUGUUUUUUAGGUGGAAAGAAUAUGUUGGCAUAAAUCUUUGUUUGAAAAUGACAACAUGUUCAUGAACUGUUCAAAUUUUUAAAUGAAGAUGAUUACUUUUGUAAAAUUCAAAUGUUACCUGAAUAUCAAGCUUCUUGACUAUUAUGAGUUAUAAAACGAAGAUAAAACAUUGCUUCAUUGAGUUAUGGUAAAUGAAAUCGGUGGCAUUGAUCCUGGCACCAUACCACAGUCCACAACUACCUCAACAACCCAACCACCUCCCGGACCAAACCAACCAUUAGACAACGAAAAUAGACGAUCAACAACAGAUACCAUUGCUGCCUUAACUGUUGCCAUAUUAUCUGUUAUUGUAAUUAUAACCAUUUUGUUGCUUGUCAGAGCUAUAAGAAAGAGAAGACAGGCUAGACAAGGGAGGGAACUCAAUCCUGUUGCAACUAUAUCUACAGGAGUUAUGGGCACAGGUGUAGCAGCAUAUAGUAAUGCCGCCAUGGAUUGGGAACCAGUGAACCAUGACCAUGAAAUGACAGUUAGACCUUCAUCAUCUCGUCACAGCAGCUAGCAUUGGUUCUCAAGAAUUUCUUAGAUGGUGCAUAUAAAUAGCUUCGUUGGAACAAAACAGUACCAGGCUCAGAUCGAAGAUCUACACAUUUAUUCAAUUCCAUUUAAAUGUUGAUCUCAACUAUAUACCAGUAUUACAGCACACACAUGCUUUGGUUGAAUAUCAGUCUUGGUGGCGUUAUUAGAACCUCUGUGAAACAGAGUGAUAGGGGUUGAUACUGUAAAUUCAGAAAUUAUUGCAUGCAUUUAUCAAUUCGACUGUGUCAUUUUAGACUAAAAUGUGAUUUACAUUUUUGCGGUAUUGAGAAAAAUCAUGUUUAAUUCAUAUAAAAAAUUUCAAAAUGCAAGUUUUAAUUAUUGCGAUUAUAACCAUGUCGCAUUUUUUGCAAUAAUAAAAACAUCACAAUAAUUUCUGAAUUUACAGUAGUUGAAUUUGAUCUGGGACCCAUUCUUGUAUAACCUAUUUUAAAAAUAAACAGGGAUAUUUCAGUGAUUUGCAUGCCUGAAAUGUCAUUUUCUAGCAAUUACUGAAACAUCACUUUUAGAAAAGUGACUAUAAGUCAAUCAUCUUGUUUAUAUUGUACAUAUCACAGAAUUGUUUUCAGUAACAAUUCUCUAAUUCAUCUUUAUUUAAUCUUUGCAUCAUGUUUAUUCAAUGAUAUAAAUCUACAUAAUGUUGGACUACAAGUCAGCCUAUCAUAUAAAACAAACCCAGUAAUUUAGACAGUAUUUUUCUUUCUGAAUUUAAAACAAGGUAUGAAUAAUAUAUAUCUGCUAACCUUUUCAUAUCUCCAUGGGUGAUUUUGAGCUCAGGAAGGCAUAUAGAAGGAUUCUCUUCUUCUGCUGUGUAUUCAUUAGUAUUUGCUGGAUAUCAAUUUUCAUGGCUUCCAUAGAUAGAGGAAAACCACAAAUUUUAAUGUUCAACCAACUGUAAAUUUACUCUGAUCAUAUGCAAACUUUUGUAACCGCAAACUCAAAUAUAAACCAAAGUUUUUCUCAAACCACAAAUAUUGAUACUGUGGAUUCAUUUAUUUUCGUGGGCAUCAAUUUUCGUGGAUUGAGGAAAUUUACAUGUUCAUGGAUUUUUGAUUUCAUGGUUUUGCCGAAGUCUGCAUACAAGUCAUGAGAAAAUUUGUCAUUUGUUGAACAUUUAAUUUUGUGGUUCAACUGUUCCCACAAAAUCCACGAAAAUUGGUAUCCAAAGAAUAAUAAUGAAUCCACAGUACCCAAUAUAAAUGAAUCCAUAGUAUUGUCCUUGUCAAGUAUUUUAAAUCUACACCUGUAUUGAAUGAACGAGUAUGCAUGUGCUUAAAAACUUUUUUUAACUUAUUUGAAUGCCUGUUUUAAGGUGUUCAGUAAAUAUAAAAAAAAAAUAAUCAAAAUUCAGGUCAACACUCAACACCUCUCAUCGGGAAAAUCCCCCAUAAAUCCUGAAGUUUGGCAGGUCUGUAAUUGAUAUGCAUUUCUAGAAGACAGUAAUUGUCAACAGUUUUCCUGGGGAAGAUUUUGUACAAUAAUAUAAUUUUGUAUAAAAAUGCAAUCUGAAAGGGAGAGAAUCAUUUGGUAAAAAAAAUUGAUCUAAUCAAAUUGUAAAAAGUAAAUGAUUGAGAAAGUUGUUUCCCUUUUACAUGUCCUGAAAUUUGAAUUGCUCAUGAAAGUCUAUCAGUACUUAAAGUCUCUGUAUUAUAUAUUUGUGCAUAAUGACCUCAAGUUACUAUAUGUUCUAUUUUAAUAAAUUGUUAUUUUUGUUGUUAUAAUUUGUACUAUAUGAUGAUGCUAUAUAUAUAUAACCAACCAUGUCAGUCAGAUGCUUGUUA